rnacentral:misc_RNA from 1 species
GAUGAAGAACGUAGCGAAAUGCGAUAAGUAAUGUGAAUUGCAGAAUUCAGUGAAUCAUCGAAUCUUUGAACGCACAUUGCGCCCGCCAGUAUUCUGGCGGGCAUGCCUGUCCGAGCGUCAUUUCAACCCUCGAACCCCUCCGGGGGGUCGGCGUUGGGGAUCGGCCCUUUCACCGGGUGCCGGCCCCUAAAUACAGUGGCGGUCUCGCCGCAGCCUCUCAUGCGCAGUAGUUUGCACUCUCGCACCGGGAGCGCGGCGCGUCCUCGUCCGUAAAACACCCCAAACUUCUGAAAUGUUGACCUCGGAUCAGGUAGGAAUACCCGCUGAACUUAAGCAUAUCAAUAAGCGGAGGA